rnacentral:tRNA from 1 species
GGUAUCGCGCCGGGUUAGAACGGAUAACUCUGAUGACGUUAAAUACGGGUGCCACACCCCGAUACCU